AUGAUGCAGGGACAAUGUCUAGUACUCACUUCUCACUCAUGAAAAUAAGCAUUUCUGUAAGGAUUCUGAUAAGUUUAGGUUAACAGUACCUUCUAGAAACAAAGAACAUGUUGCCAGGAGUGCUCACAGAUACUGAAUUAUUGUUAUUGCCUUACCCUUUUGGACAGAGUUCAAGCCAGAUUUUAUGAUUGAUUGGUUUCUGAUGCUCUGUAAUUUCACUGAAACACACCUCCACGAACAUGGAAUGUUUUCUGACUGAAACUCAGGGGACUCCCUAAGUGCGUAUGUUGCUCCGUGUUCAUGGCCUAGUAAACCAGCAGAAGAUGGCCCAAGUGUUUGGAUCCCUGUUGCCCUUGUGAGAGACCUGGAUGAAGCUCCUGGCUCCUGGCUUUGCCCUGGCCGCUGCUGGAUGUUGUAGCCAUCUGUUGUAUAGAUCUGAGAGCACACACUGUCGGGUCCUUGUGUGGACUCUGUUCCAGCCUUAAACAUUGAUUCAUUCUUGUGGCGGCUCAGCCAGAGAAGCAGCAGCAGAGCUGGUUCUCCAGGGACUCUUCCUACAAGGUUGCCAAUUCUACGAGGCCAAGUCCCCACGCGUGAACUCUUCUAUCCCUAAUUACCUCCAGAAGUCUCAUCUCCAAAAACUGCUCAUUAGUGCUCAGGGUUCUGAAGCAUGAACUGAGGAGGGCAGGGGUGGCACCCUGUAGCCAAGAAUCAACCAGGAAGGAAAUCUUUGAGGGAAUUUCGUCCAUCAGAAUCCACCAAAGGAGGAAUGAAAGGCAACCCAUAACUGCGGGAAGCUAUUUCCAAGAGAUACACUUGGCCAUGUCCAGGGUGUAUAAACAGAUCUUCCGUCACAAAGAAAAGACAGACAACUCAAUAGGAAAAUAGGCAGAAGAUUAUAUCCAAAUGACCGAAAAACAUAAAAACUACUGAACACUAUUUUUCAACAGAGAAAAGUGAACUGAAAUCAAAAUAGACUCUCCGGCUUACAGGAUGGCAAAAAUGAAAAAGACAAACGAUAUCGAGUGUUGACAAUGCUUUGAUUCUCACUGCUCUUAAGCAGAUUCUUAGGUUAAUCAGCAGGCCCACUCUCCUCAAUUCCUUUUAAGUGGAAGUAAGAAGGAAGUAAUGGAUUUUGGAAGAUCUAUUGACUUCUAGGGUUCUCUCUUAGACCAUAUGAUUCUGAUAUUUUGUUAAUUUAAUAUGCACAACCUGAACAUCUCCCAUAAGCAAGCCAUCAAGUGCCUAAGAGGAAGAAAAACAUAUUUGCCAUCAUUCAUAUCUCUUAAGAGCUGUCUAAAUCAUGAGGAUUUAUGAACUAGAUACAAAUACAGCACCUAAACCCAUAUAUUUAUUUACAGAAGUGUUUAAGACUUGGAGAAGAUAUUAUCGUUUCCAAAAUGAGAAAUAAAAAUGCACUCAGCCAAGAUAUGAACAUUAAGUUUCUACCAAACUUAAUAGUAUAUCAACUUCAUUAGGGGAUAAACUGUGUAUUCAUCAAAAUUGUAUUACACAUGAAGAUAAUUAGUUUGAGAUUUCUUAAUGGUGCAGGAAGAAAAAAUCGUAGUUGGGCCGAUGUUUAGCCUAGGAAUUAAGAUGCCACUUUGUCAAAUGCCAUCCCAGAGUAUGGGUUCAAGGCCAAUUCUCUCCUGAAUCUAGCUACCUGCUAAUGCACACCCAUUAUAAUACCACACACAAUCUUCAGCUAUAUUGACUAUUUCCAGCUUGCAUUGGUUCCAAGUUGCAAAGUCUCUAUUCUUACAAUUUUCCCCUAAAUGGCAGUGGGGGAGGGGCAUGAACAGCAUGUGAAAUGGGACUUUGAGUGGCACACAGGAAGGGGUGGUCUAGCAAAGAGGAGGGUGUAUAAGCAGCAGGGACAGGGGCUGUCACACAAUGGGGCAGGGCUGUAGCAGGCUGGGCUGCUGAGCAGAGCUUGGAAAACCACAGCUCCUCUUGCUAGUGCUACCUGCCUGCCGACAUCAAUUUUAAUAAAGAUCUGUUCUGGUUGUGAAAUGUUAUUGUGUAGAAGUUUACCUAAAUAGGCAUUAAAUAACUAAAUUUUCAAAUAUUCUAAAAACAUUUUGUACUUUCAAAAAUGUUUAUAUAUAUAUCUGUAUAUCUAUAUCAAUCUCUUUGGAAUUUUCUUUCCACCUUUUUGGCACAUUUUAUUUAUGCAUGUUAUUAAUUAUUAUGAGUGUUUCAGGUCAUUCAUUAAUAAAAUAUGGCAUUUCUUUGGCAAGAAAAUCCUAUUAAUGGUUUGCUAUAAAAGCCCUAUAAAUGGAGUUCUAAGUACUUUAUCAGCUUCCUGUCCUCUUUUUGAAUGACAGCUUGAAUCAUUAAAAGCAGUCAGCACUAAAAUGAUUUAUUUCCAUCUAAAUAGAGAUUACUUGAUUUAAUUAAGUACGCUGUGUGUUUCUCGAUUGCCACAAAGUGGUUCCUGCAAACUUCUGACUCAUUGCUUAGUGUUCUCCUGGCCUCAGUGGGAUACUGAGAGGAUUCAGGUUUUAGAACUUUUAGCUCUACCUUGCAAAUGGCUUUAAAAAUUUAAUAACUCUUCAGAAAUUCUGUGUAAGCUUAUGAAAUUUUUAUACUUCCUGGUCACUUUUUACAUGAAAGUUACCAUGCUUUCAAAUAUCUCUGUGUAUAUAAGCAUCAAAACACAGAGUCUAAUAAUGACCCCACAAACAUUAGGAUGUACACUUGAAAUAUCUCUUGGCAUUUGUUCAUUAAACUAAUUCUUUUUUAUUAUCUGUACAAAGGAACAAUUUUUAUGUUUGCAACUCUCAUUUUUCAGGUUUGAAAUUUAAAAAUGUACCAGAUUCACAAUCAAAAAUAAAAUUUGCAGUUUUCAUACAUUGGCUUUCCUGUAUUUCACUGAAUCUCUUGUAUUAUAAAAUCAUCCAGGUAUUCCUGAAAGUCAUAUUUCCCCUGAGCAUGACCAUAUAUUCCUUCUCUUAUCUUCUCUUUGGCUACUAGAUUGCAGGGAUUUGAAGUCAAGGCAGACAGAAGCAUGGUUGAUAGAAGUCCAGGGGAUACCAGCACCUACAAGUGUGGGUAGCAAUUGAGAGCUCUGAAGUCAAAUGACCUUAGUGUGAAAACCAAUGUUGUCACCCCUACCUAUGAGUCUCCAUGCUUGCUUCUGUAAAAUAACAAUUAUGAAGCUACAAGUACCAUGUAUUGCAAGGAAUAAGCAGGUUACUUACUGCAAAUUAUUCAGUGCAGCUCUGGCACCCAGUAAACACUCAAUGAUUGUUGACUUUUAUGAGCCGCAAUUGACUUUGCACCGUUUUAUGCUGGGCUUUUACCCUUUAUGUACAUCAUCUCCCAUUUGCACCAUAUCUUUGCAAGAUAAACAGUGUACCCCUCUUUUACAGGCAAUAAACCAGGGCUAUGAAAUGAUUUGCCAAAGAUCUUAGAGGGAAUGAAUGCUAGAGGUCAAUCCAGGGCUAAACCUUAAAUCCUCAAUGUUAUCGUUCUUAUAUCAUCCCUUCAGAUAAAGAAAUUAGAAAAACAAACAAAAACUGGCAUUGGAUGCUCCAAAUAACAUAGAAAACCUGAAAUGUGGUAUAUUUCAAAGAUGAGAGGGGAAGCAGACUGAUAACCAAAGGGAAGUUGGCAAUGCUUGAAUGGCCUGGCCAGAGCCCACAAUGUCACUGAGGUGCGUCAGACAACCACCAAGGACUCUUGUCCAAGUGCACUACAGUGGGGAUGGAGCGCCCAGCGUCAAGCAGUCCACAGCUGUGCAGCCACACUCCCCUGUGUGGGAGCUCUCACCAGCUCCCUGAUGGUUAGGAAAGAGCCUCUGGCUUUCAGCACUGUUUAGGGUAUGAGGCUCCUUCUGCCUCAUUUUUGGAGAAGGCUGCAAGACACAUGCUUCUGCUCUCUAAAAUCUUGAUGGAUCAGUUGCAGGUACAAGUGCACGAAAGAAGAAACUUGAUUUUCAACCUCAUUGCUUCUACAGUCUUACUCUCAGCUGAUGACAUGAGUUUAUAUUUCUCUGAUAAAAUACUAGCAAAUAGAAGAGCUUUCCACAAAACUAUCCAUCAAACACACACACUUUAAUAGAAUCUCACUCACAUGCUGAUUUCUCAGUCCGUGUCCAGAGAUAAAUAACCCAUGCUCCUUUAUUUAAGCCAACUCCAUUACUUGUGCGCAGUUGUCACCCAGUCAAAGCUUGCCACAAGAGCUCCAGGCCUGGCCUCAUCAAACACUGCUUCCUCAUAUGGAAGGAAGAUAAACAACUGAAGAAGGACAGUAGAGAUGGCCUGUCCUCACAGCUCCCUAGUCCUAGUUCUGUUUUAUUGCAUUAAACCUCUGAGUCAGUCGUGUGCUCAUUGAAGCAAAAGAAAAAUUUCUAAGACUCCAACCAUUCUAUUAACAUAUAUGGAAUUAAUUCAAAUUUACUUCUUGCUAAAUAUUUCAACUAUAAGGGGAAAAUAAUUCAUAAAUAUCUUGCGAGGAUGUAAAAUGUAAUUUUAAUAAGUAAAUUCCUCUUGAUUUCCUAACUUUGUGAACAUGAAAAAUUUCCCCACUAACAUUUGUACUCAAAAUUUUAUCAAAAUUAAUUUUUGUCUAUUUUCUGGAUUGUUAAGAUAUCUGAGAACAAUAUAGCAUGGUAUGUAGUUUCAUUAACGAUUUACAAGAAAAUGAAGGGAUAUGGAUACACACACACACACACACACAUAUAUAUAUAUGUAAUCUCUUACAUCUAUAUACAUAUGAUGGUGGUUAAGUUUUUGAGUUAUCCUUGUCUUCUGGAAAAUCUGAGAAGAGCAAGUUGAAAUAAACAAUCUUUCAUUGUUAUGAAAUUUUUGAGAAGAUAUGAAAUUUCCAAAUGUUACCCAAGAACAAAGAAAGAGAGUAAUGGAUUUGUGGAUGAAGCCUUAACGACACAUAAUGUGGUGAAGACAGGGAGGGAAGUUAGAGAGCUGUGUCUCACAUCAGAACUAGCACUAACUGCAGGGGAUUUCUGAGAGAUGAAGGGAAAAAAGACAUUGAACAACAGAACAAACAAUCCAAUUAGGAAAUAAGCAAAGGGCCAAAAUAGAUGUUUCCCCCUUUUACAGAUUUAUUUAUUGGUUUAUUUGGAAAGGAGGGAGGUGGAGAGAAGAGAGAGAGAGAGAACGAGAGCAAGAGCGAGAGAGCUGAGACUAGGCCAGGCUGAAGUCAGGAGCCUGGAGCUUCAUCCAGGUCUCCAAGAUGGGCAGCAGGAAAUCAAGUGCUUGAGCACGUUCUUCUGCUUUCCUAGACACAUUAGCAGGAGAUGAAUCAGAAACAGAGUAGUCAGGACUUAAACUGGAACCUUGAUAUGGGAAGGGGGUAUCUCAGAAGGCUGUGUCACCCAUUGUGCCACAAAGUUGGCCUCUUGAAUAUGCAAUUUUUAAGAGAAGUGGCCAACAAACACAUUAACAAUGUUCAGGAUCACUAACCAUCAGAAAAACACAAUUAAAAACCACAGUGAGGUAUCAUCUCAGGUCACUUAAAAUGGUUAUUAUCAAAAAGACAGGCAAUAUCUAAUGCUGGCAAUGUUGUGGAGAAAAGAGAACCCUAAUACGGUAUUGGCAGGAAUGCAUAUUCGUACAACCAUUAUGGAAAACAGUGUGGAGAUUCCUCAAAAAACUAAAAACAGACUUAUCAUAUGACACAGCUAUCCCACUUCUGAUUAUAUUAAAAGAAAAUGAAGUUGGUAUAUGAAAGAAAUAUUUGUUCUCCAAUGUACAUUACAGCCCAAUCCACAACAGCAAUGAUAUUGAAUCAACCUACAUGUCAAUCAACUGAUGACUAAAAAAAGAAAAUGUGGAAUAGAUACUCAUGAUGGAAUAUUACAUGGUCAUUACAAGAAUGAAAUCCUGACAUUUGCAGCAAAAUGGAUGGAAAUAAACUUCAUUAUGUUAAGUGAAAUACCAUAUUGAGAAGUACAAGCACCAUGCUUUCUCUCAUAUGUGGAAGUAGGCAUGCAUGUAAAUAGAUGUUGGGUAGGUAGAUAACAUGUAGAUUCCAUAUACUUGAUACAUAUGUAGAUUUUUAUAUUUCAUCCUUAAUGAUUUAUACUCCUUACAUGACAAUAUGCUAAUCUGUCCUCAUUUUAUGGUCUUUUUCAUGAGUCUCAUAUUGUGUGAAUUACCAACGGCAAAAGGAAGACCUUUCUCUGUCUCUCUCUCACUGUCCACUCUGCCUGUCAAAAAAAAAAAAUCUAUCUCUUCUCUCAGUGUAUGUGUCUACACAUAAUGUUUACAAAUGAAGAAAGUAUGGCAAAUGCUAAAAACGUAUUACAAGUCCUGUCACUACUUCCCAGCUAGCCUCCCGCUACACUCCUGCGAGGCAGUAGUCGAUGAUCCUAAUGCUUGGGUGUCUGACACCCAUCUGGGAGAGCCAAAUGGAGUUCCUGACUCCUGGCUUUGGCUUGGCCCAGGCCUGGCUAUUGCCACCAUUUAGGUGGUUAACCAGCAGGGGAAUCAUUCUCUCUUUUCCUUUUUGUCUCCCCCCUUGUCACUGUGAUUUUCAAAUAAAUAAAUGAACUUAAACAAGAAAAUGUUAAAACAUCUAACUUCAAACAUUAGAAUGAAGAAGCAAGAUACGGAGAAAGACCAGCAUGCCUAAAGUUAUGAAAAGAAAGUUCAUAGGAAAGAGGUUCUUAUUCUUAACACCACUCAUAAUAAGAUUAUGUACAUUUAAAAUCACCCCAAAUGCCAUUUCUUUCCUGACAGAUUGACAAAAAUUCCCCAUGACAAAUAGUCUGAUAUCAAGGUAAAAAGAAAAUAUAUAUUCUUGUAGUCCUUGUGAGACUACAAAUUACAACACUAUUAAGGAACACAACAGACAAUGUACAAUUUUUAAAACAUGGAAUUAUUGUACUUAUCCAAGAAAUUCAAAAGUUAGAAUCUGUCUUAUUUAUGUAUAUAUUCUAUUACACAAAAAAGCACUUACACUUACAACUACAUGCUUAUCAUUUGUAGCAUGGCUAUUUAUAGCACAAGAGUAUAAACAAGUGGCUGGUACUGUGCUGCAGUAGGUUAAGCUGCCACCCCAUAUACUGGCACCCCAUACGAGCCCUGGUUCAAGUCCUGGCUGUUCCACUUCUGAACCAGCUCCCUGCUAACGCGCCUGGGAGGCAGCGGAAGACGGCUCAGGUGCUUAGACCCCUGCCACCCAGGUGGAAGUCCCAGAUGAAGUUCCUGGUUAAUGGCUUCGACCUGGCCCAGCGUCCCCUGCCACUGCAGCUCUUUGAGGAGUGAACCAGCAGAUAAAAGAUCUUUCUGCCUCUCCCUCUUUCCCUGUAACUUUGCCUUUCAAAUAAAAAAAUUACAUCUUUAAAAAAGGAGUAGAAACAAAAAAAGGUUUUCUAUCCUGCAACUUUGCCAAAUUCUUCUAUGAGUUUCAUAAUCUCUUGGGAGUCCUGUGGUUCCCAACAAUCAGGAUCACAUCAUCUGCAAACAAAGAUAAUCUGAUUUCCUACAUUCCCAUUUGUAUGCAUUUGAUUUAUUUUCUUCUCUAAUGGCUGUGGCUAAAACUUCCAGAAUCAUAUUGAAUAGUAAUGGUGGCAAUAGUAUUUGUCUGGUUCCAGCUUUUCCCCAGUCAAUAUAAUGCUGAGAGUGAGUUUGUCAUAUAAAGUUAGGUUCCUUCUAUACUUACUUUACUCAAGGUUUUUAAUCAUGAAAGUAUUUUGUAUUUUAUCAAAUGCCUCUCUGCAUCUAUUGAGAUAAUCAUAUGUUUUUUAUUCUUCAGUUUGUAAAUAUGCUGUAUUCUGUUUGAUUUGCAUAUGUUGAAGCAUCCCUGUAUAUCAGGGAUAGAUUCCACUUGGUCCAGAUGAAUUAUCUUUUUGGUGUGUUGAUGGAUUUGAAUAGCUAAUGUUUUUUUGAGGAUUUUUUUUAUUUGAUAAGUAGAGUUAUAGACAGUGAGAGAGAGAGACAGAGAGAAAGAGGUCUUCCUUCCGUUGGUUCACUCCCAAAAUGGCCACUACGACUUGCGCUGUGCCGAUCUGAAGCCAGGAGCCAGGUGCUUCUUCCUGGUCUCCCAUGCGGGUGCAGGGGCCCAAGCACUUGAGCCAUCCUCCGUUGCCCUCCAGGGCCACAGCAGAGAGCUAGACUGGAAGAGGAGCAAACAGGACUAGAACAGACACCCAUAUGGGAUGCCAGUGCCACAAGGCAGAGGAUUAACCAAGUGAGCCACGGUGCCGGUCUUUUGAGGAUUUUUACAUCUGUUCAUCGAAGACAUUGCUCUGGUUUUCUUCCUUUAUUUGCAAACUUUAUAGCUGAUAAAGGGUUAAUAUCCAGAAUGAAUAAAAUUUCAAGAAACUCAACCACAACAAAAUAAGCAAACUAAUCAAGAAAUGGGCUGAGUAUAUGAACUGGCAUUUUUCAGAGUAUGAAAUACUAGUGACCAACAGACCUAUGAAAAAUUCUGAUUCACUAGCCAUCAUUGAAAUGCAAAUAAAAACCAUAAUGAGGUUUCACUUCACCACAGUGAGAAUGGCUACCACCCAAAAAUCAAAAAUAACAAACGCUUGAUAGGAUGUGUGAAAAAAAGGUACCCUAAUACACUGUUGGUGGGAAUAUAAACUACUACAGUUUGUGGAAGACAGUAAGGAGAUUCCUCAGAAAUCUGAAAAUAGAUCUGACAUAUGACCCAGCCAUUUCGCUCCUGGAAAUUACCCAAAGGAAAUGGGAUCAGCAUAUGAAAGAGUAAUCCAUAUCUCCUUGAUUACAGCAGAUCAACUCACCAUAGCUAAGAAAUGGAAUCACCCCAGUUGUCCAUCAACUGAUGAUUGGAUAAGGAACAUGUGGUAUAUAUACACGAAAUGAUACUACUCAGCCAUAGGAAAGAAAAAUUUCUUCUGAAACAAAAUGGAUGCAGUUGGAGACCAUUAUGCUUAGUGAAACAACUCAGCCCACAAGAGACUAAUAUCAAGUUUUCCCUGGUUUAUCAUAACUAAUAUAAAGAGUACCAAAAAAUGAAAUGUAUAAAAAUCAAAUUGACACUUUGAGAUUUGAUAAGCUUUUAUUUAUAUCCCUGUCUAUACUCCUGAGAAACAGUAGUUUUUCUACUUACUAUUUGUUGAAUUUUUUUUUUAUUUGGUGGAAGGUUAAUCUUGUGACUGUAAAGUAAAUUGGAAGUAUGUCAUUGCAAAAAAAUAAAAUAAAAAUAAGGAAGUUAGGAGAAGGGAGAGUAGGAGCCAGCAAAAGAGGGUUUGGUGGGAAUGACCAUUAUACUCUUAAAACUGUACAUAUGGGGGCUGGGGCUGUGGAGUACCGGUUCCCCAUAUGGCCGCUGGUUCAAGUCCCGGCUGUUCUACUUACAAUCCAGUUCUCUGUUAUGGCCUGGGAAGGGAGUAGAAGAUGGCCCAAAUCCUUGGGCCCCUGCACCUGUGUGGGAGACCUGGAAGAAGCUCCUGGUCCCUGGCUUUGGAUCAGCACAGCUCUGGCCAUUGCAGCCAAAUGGGAAGUGAACCAGCAUAAGGAAGACCUCUCUCUCUCUCUCUCUCUGCCUCUCCUUCUCUUUCUGUGUAAGUGUGAUUUUCAAGAAAAUAAAUAAAUAUUUUAAAAAACUGUACAUAUGAAACGUUAUUUUUUCCCAUUGUAAAAAAAAAAAAAAAAAUCGGGGCUGGCGCUGUGGCGCAGCAGGUUAAUGCCCUGGCCUGAAGCGCCAGCAUCCCAUAUAGGCGUCAGUUCUAGUCCCGGCUGCUCCUCUUCCAAUCCAGCCCUCUGCUGUGGCCUGGGAUAGCAGUAGAGGAUGGCCGAAGUUCUUGGGCUCCUGCAUCCAUGUGGGAGACCUGGAGGAGGCUCCUCGCUUCGGAUCAGUGCAGCUCCAUCCUCUGUGGCCAACUGGGGAGUGAACCAGCAGAUGGAAGACCUCUCUCUUGCAUGCUUUUUCUCUCUCUCUCUCUCUGCCUCUCC